GCGAAACCGCGAAUGGCUCAUUAAAUCAGUCAUGAUUCAUUGGAUGUUGUAAAAUCCUUACUCGGAUAACUGUGGUAAUUCUAGAGCUAAUACGUGCAACUAAGCUCCGACCCCGGCCGGGGUAUCGGCUUCACUGUCGAUAUUCUCGGUCGGGGGAAGGGCGCAUUUGUUAGACCAAAAACCGGGUGGAAAGUAAGGGCGUCGUUUUCAUUAACGUACUAACCCCCAAAUCCUCCAAUUCGGUUAUGUGGUGACUCUGAAUAACUACAGCCGAGCGCUGAGGUCUUUGUACCGGCGCCGUAUCUUUCGAGUGUCUGCCUUAUCAGCUCUCGAUUGUAGGUUAUUCGCCUACAAUGGCUGUAACGGGUAACGGGGAAUCAGGGUUCGAUUCCGGAGAGGGAGCCUGAGAAACGGCUACCACAUCCAAG
rnacentral:rRNA from 1 species